ensembl:lncRNA
CAUUCUCCGAGAUGAAGAUGAGGCACCACCAAGAGACACUCUGCAGAGGAGCUCCCAACUUUGGGAAGAACAAGGUUUGGGAUUUUAGCUCUGCUUUCAAUCUUUUUCAGAACAAGAGGAUACAAACCAAGCUGCGACUUCCCUGUGUAUAAAAUAAUUUCUGUGCUCUUGCACAAGCAGAAGACAAGUGACGGAAAGCAACAGGGACAGGCCCUUGCAAGGGAUGCCCAUGCCCAGUAACCAGGUUGGCCAGUUCAGUGACAGAAGUAUCUAGACGACUGAUCUGUAAUGAAUAAAAUAAGUAGUCUGCCUAAUUCCUCAGCUGCAGUAUUUUGGUGUACAUUGAAAUCCAGAAGGAGCACAUUGAUUUUCAUUUGGCCAUCCAGGAUAAGUGAAGAUGGGAACCUCCUUAAUAAGCACAACUCAAAUCUCUGCAGCUCGUAAGACAAAUAACCAAAGAAGAAGGCACGCUACCAUGUGGAUAUUCACUCCCCUUUAUUGCAGAGGAAAAACUUCUGCAGAAGGAUGGGAGAAACAACAAAGGGCAGUAACAUUUUCAUCUGUCACUACAAUCCUAGCUAUUUUAUUUGCUGACUUCUGUGGUAUUUCACAUAAGGUUUAAUUAUAUACAGAUUCACAGCCACCUAAUAUAUUGACAACAGCUCUGGCUUUGACAGGGUUGGCCUGUUCAAAGUCACAUUUAGGCACAAUUAUGAUCCAGAAUUAGAUCUCCUCCAUAUUCCCUAAGAGGCCCGAGUGGUAGCAACCACAGAUCUUUGUUGGAUUCACCAUUGUGAAUCUCUCUUCUGGAGAUGAAAAUUUUACACCUGAAUUACACAAAGGCUUUUUGAAAGUAGCUAAGCUCUGUUGAAAUUUUUAGAAUAGAAAUUGUGAAAGAAAAGGAAGUCCCUAUGCUUCUCCUUGCUGUACAGUACUUGAGAUUACUGCUUUACUUUUCUCAAGAAUUUUCUGAUAACAAAAACUGCCUUAUUCAUACCAACACAAAACUAACUCUCCAUUGCAAGGCACAGUGGUACUGUUUUAUCAUAAAUCAGUGAGAAGAUUAGAAUAUAUGAUUUUUUUUUUUUUCAGGUGGAGACAUAGUGGUAAAAACAACCAAGCCAGGUAACACAAUAAUUUGACAGAAAACCACAAGAUGAAAGGAAGUAAAACAAUAUGAUACAGAUGAAAGGUGAUAAAGCAAAAACAUGACAAGAACUGGGCGUGAAGUAACAGCAUUAGGACACGAGAUAAUAUGAAGUGAUGAAAAAGAAUCAGCCUGAUAUGUUUUCUGAUGAUGCUACAUAGGAAGAUGCAUUAUGAGGAUACGUUACAGUGACAAAACAUACUUUUGGACUACACAACAGACAAUGCAUAAAUGGAAAAAACAGAAAACCACACAGGAGAUAGAACAAAACAUUCUGCUAUUUAUACAUUAAUGAUAUUAUUUCAAUUUUAAGUAGCUGAAACCAAUAGAAGUGUUCAUGUGGAGACACUAAAUUAAUUGAAGGCAUUCAUUUGAUACAAAUAACCUAAAUGUCUCAUCAAAGACAGCAGCAGCCAGCAGAAAUACUCUGCUCUCCAAGUACCAAUACCACAUUCCAGGGCUGUGUGGUAUAACUAUCAGGGUGACAAGACUGAUGUGUGACUGGGAUUUAGGAGAGUGAGAGAGCAGCCCUUGACCCUUACCUAUGUGAGCAAGAGAAGAUGUGCAGAUGAAAGUUCCAGUCUAUUUUAUUCUACUGUAAUAUAUCAUACUGUUGAGUCCUAUAUAAUAAAGUCGGGUGCCUCUGCUAUGUUUAUGU